CUGCCUUCCCAAAGCCGGGCAAGCAAGGGUCCUGGAGUUCUCUUGCCUCCUUCCCAGUCUAGUUAGCACUUUCCCAGCUUUGGAAAGGAGGUGGGAGGGCUCCAGGACCCUGCUCAUUUGGCUAGCUUUGGGAAGGUAGU